rnacentral:rRNA from 1 species
UAACGAAUCUUCCGCAAUGGGCGCAAGCCUGACGGAGCAAUGCCGCGUGCGGGAUGAAGCUUCUACGAAGUGUAAACCGCUGUCAGGGUCUCGCACCACCGAGCAGACCCAGAGGAAGGGCCGGCUAAUUCCGUGCCAGCAGCCGCGGUAAUACGGAAGGCCCGAGCGUUAAUCGGAAUCACUGGGCUUAAAGCGUGCGCAGGCGGGGCGGCAGGCAUCCUGUGAAAUCCCACGGCUCAACCGUGGAACUGCAGGGUGAACCGCCGUCCUCGAGGCAGGUAGGGGUGAGUGGAACUAUGGGUGGAGCGGUGAAAUGCGUAGAUAUCCAUGGGAACGCCGAUGGCGAAGGCAACUCACUGGGCCUGUUCUGACGCUCAGGCACGAAAGCGUGGGGAGCGAACGGGAUUAGAUACCCCCGUAGUCC